AGUGAACGCUGGCGGCAGGCCUAACACAUGCAAGUCGAACGGCAGCACGGCAGUAGCAAUACUGUGGGUGGCGAGUGGCGGACGGGUGAGGAAUACAUCGGGAUCUACCCUGUUGUGGGGGAUAACGUAGGGAAACUUACGCUAAUACCGCAUAAGAACUGAGGUUGAAAGCGGCGGACCGCAAGGCGUCGCGCGAUUGGAUGAACCGAUGUCCGAUUAGCUAGUUGCGGGUAAAGGCCCACCAAGGCGACGAUCGGUAGCUGGUCUGAGAGGACGACCAGCCACACUGGAACUGAGACACGGUCCAGACUCCUACGGGAGGCAGCAGUGGGGAAUAUUGGACAAUGGGCGCAAGCCUGAUCCAGCCAUGCCGCGUGGGUGAAGAA
rnacentral:rRNA from 1 species